GAUGAAGAACGCAGCGAAAUGCGAUACGUAAUGUGAAUUGCAGAAUUCAGUGAAUCAUCGAGUCUUUGAACGCACAUUGCGCCCGCCAGUAUUCUGGCGGGCAUGCCUGUCUGAGCGUCGUUUCGACCCUCGCGCCCGGCUUCUGUCGGGGGCGGUGUUGGGGAUCGGCCACACCCUUCAGUGGGAGGCCGGCCCCUAAAUUCAGUGGCGACCACGCUGUAGCCUCCCCUGCGUAGUACUAAAACCACCUCGCAGGCGGAGAGCGGUGCGGCCCGCCGUAAAACCCCCCAACUUUUACAAGGUCGACCUCAGAUCAGGUAGGAAUACCCGCUGAACUUAAGCAUAUCAAUAAGCGGAGGA
rnacentral:misc_RNA from 1 species